CAGUUUUGAUGUACAAGUAUUUAUAACCAAAUGUACAGCAGAAAAACAGAAAUGUAACAGAUUACAAUAGCAGUUCCUGCUCAUCCAUAACAGACGCUACUCUCACCAACAACACAACCAAUCGGAAUUCUCUGUUUGUUACUUCCAACCUCCCAUUGUUCUCUUCAAUGCACCAUUUAACCUCUAGUCUGCAACAGAAAAC
rnacentral:misc_RNA from 1 species